UUGGAAUCGGAAAAAGGAGCGCCAGGAGGGAGCGUUUGUGUUGGUAAUGGCACGGCCGGCUCUUCAAAGCUGAUCUCAGAGGCGGUGGAGGAGGUGGUCCAGCUUCUGAUCUCCAGCAAGACCCCGGCCCCAACCGUCUGCAUGCGCACACGGCCACUCAACACUAUGACGAGGGAUGACAUGGAGGCAGUAAGCCACAACGUCUGUGUUCUGCCUGCUCCCCUUGCCCGGGCCUGCAGCCUGCAUCCCUGGCUGGCCGACUAGCCGGUUGGCCGGCCGUCCGUCCGUCCGGCUGGCUGGCACAUCAGAGCAACCUGCGCCUCAGGAGAUAGAGCCAUUUGAAGUGUAUCUCUCAGCCUUCAGAGCGCUGCGCUGAAAAACAUCACCGCACAAACGCCUCAACCGGGAACCCGACACACUUGUACAGUUGGAGGCUGCUGGGCAGUGGACGGUCAACAUCUAUUUUGCAUGCG
ensembl:lncRNA